AGAGCAUCGGUGAUGUUACAUCCUUCUUUUUAACUCAUCUUGCACUAUGAGAUAACCGGUGAAGAAAAAAUUGGGGGAAUAUGUAGUCUGAGAUGCUC
rnacentral:snoRNA from 1 species